rnacentral:rRNA from 1 species
GACGAACGCUGGCGGCGUGCUUAACACAUGCAAGUCGAACGAUGAAGCCUAGCUUGCUAGGUGGAUUAGUGGCGAACGGGUGAGUAAUACGUGAGUGACCUACCUUUGACUCUGGGAUAAGCCUGGGAAACUGGGUCUAAUACCGGAUACGACCAAUCUCCGCAUGGGGUGUUGGUGGAAAGCGUUAUGGAGUGGUUUUAGAUGGGCUCACGGCCUAUCAGCUUGUUGGUGAGGUAAUGGCUUACCAAGGCGACGACGGGUAGCCGGCCCGAGAGGGUGACCGGCCACACUGGGACUGAGACACGGCCCAGACUCCUACGGGAGGCAGCAGUGGGGAAUAUUGCACAAUGGGCGCAAGCCUGAUGCAGCGACGCCGCGUGAGGGAUGACGGCCUUCGGGUUGUAAACCUCUGUUAGCAUCGAAGAAGCGAAAGUGACGGUAGGUGCAGAGAAAGCGCCGGCUAACUACGUG